AACAUGGAACGGUCCUGGUUCCUGCUCUUCCUGGCGGUGGUUCCCAGAGGUGUCCUGUCCCAGGUGCAGCUGCAGGAGACUGGGCCUGGCCUGCUGAGGCCCUCGCAGACCCUGUCCCUCACCUGCUCAGUCUCUGGCUACUCCAUCAGCAGUGGGCACUCCUGGACCUGGAUCCGCCAGUCUCAAGGGAAGGGGCUGCAGUGGGUGGGGCAGAUUGACAGUGCUGGAGGCACAGUUUAUGAGCCGUCCCUGAAGAGCCGAGUCAGCAUCUCCAGAGACACGCCCAAGAACCAGUUCUCCCUGCAGCUUAACUCUGUGACAGCUGAGGACAUGGCCGUGUAUUACUGUGCAAGAGACACAGUGGGAGAGCUUCAGUGUGAGCCGAGACACAAACCUCUAUGCAGGGACGUCCAGGACCAGCAGGGGGCGCUGAGGAUUCCCUUAGUGCAAGAAGGGUCCCAGAAGCAGGUGCAGGGAAGGAAGCUGGGGAGUGUGUGCUUCCUGUCACUCUGGGUGACCUAUCUGUGUGACAUCAUAUGA